GUCUGACCUGCUCACUGAAAUUUUUAAAAGAGCCGCGGUAUUUUGACCGUGCAAAGGUAGCAUAAUCAUUAGUUUCUUAAUUAGAGGCUGGAAUGAAUGGUUUGACGAGAAAUUAACUGUCUCUUAAUAAAUUUUAUAAUUUAACUUUUAAGUUAAAAGGCUUAAAUUUUUCUUUAGGACGAGAAGACCCUAUAGAGCUUUACAUUUUAAUUUAAUAUUUCUUUUAUUAUCUUUUUAUAUUAGAUGUUAAUGUUUUGUUGGGGUGACAUGAAGAAUAAAAAAACUCUUCAUUAUUUAAUCAUUAAUUUAUGUUUAAAUGAUCCAUAAUUUAUGAUCAUAAGAUUAAGUUACCUUAGGGAUAACAGCGUAAUUGUUUUUGAGAGCUCAUAUCGACAAAACAGAUUGCGACCUCGAUGUUGGAUUAAGAUUAAUUUGGGUGCAGUGGCUCAAUAAUA
rnacentral:rRNA from 1 species